AAAGUUUAUCCUCAUUGGUUAGUUACGAUAAGAUACUUUAUUGUCAACUUUUGUGGAAACUACUUUUAUAAGUUAGUUGUGGAAAAAUGUAUAUUUGUCUGUCUCCCCUACGUUAGCUUCUCCAGAACCUUCCAGCAAGUGGAGGGAAGGAGGGAGUAUGAGACCCCAGCUCCUCGCAGGUUCAACCCAAAGCCCACACUCUGGAACACCACUAAACUCCGGAACACCCAGAACACUACACAGCUGCACAGCUCCAGGACACAGAAUACACCUCACACAGUGCAAGGAAACUUCUGGAGGCCAUCCCUAACAACAGCAGCAGCUUGGCAGCCAGAGGUGUGCAGCAGCAGUUUUCUUAGGGUUGCCAUAGCAACACCACCGAUGGCAACCUGCAAACAGUGCAAUCCAGCCUCACGCUGCCUUUCCUGCUGCAGAGAGCACAGAGACAGUCAAAGAGACGGCUUCCGCCAAGACCAGCAAAACCACAAGCAGCAGCAGAAAUCACCCCCUCCUCUUCCUCCCUGCGUCUCCAUGUCUCAGGAAGGGGUGGCCAUGGUCCCCCCUCCAGCCAGGCCAACCUCCACCCUGCUCCAGCCGUGCCACUCCAUUUCUGAGGAUGCUCAGAGGGUCCUCCGGAAGGUCUAAUGACAUGAGAAUGUUUAACCCUCUCCUGCAACAGGGACACCACAGAUGAAGUCAGGAUUAAGAAAACAGUGGAUGCAUGGAUCAACGCCCUGAGUAAGGAUAUCCAGGUGAGUCGGUCAAAAGGUCACCUUGAGUCAUUUCAGUUGGUUUGUUCCAACUGUCGUUUUGUUUUGUCCUGUUGGAUUAGCAUAUAGUACGCGACAUUUAUGUCCAAUUUAAUGAUGCUAGAUCAUAGCGUCUUAUGACAACCCGAUAACCCAUAAGAUAUUACAUUCUAUUGACAUUACUGUUAGUAAUAUGCCGGAGUUGUAUGUGAUCCAGUGUAACAGAUUUUUAAAGUCAAGUAUUUUAACAUAUUUUCAACCCUCAGUCCUCAGAGAUCUAAAGAUUCCAUGCAAUUUGGUUUGGAUGCUCCGUGCUGUUUGAUAGUAAAUAUCUCAGCCACAAAAGCCUGGAGGGACUGAGUUCAGCCUCAAUUUUUAUGGGCUUUGCAGCAGAGAGAGGUUCACAAUUGUAUCAUGGUAGAAGAAGAGUAAUGCUCAUACAAAGUAGAGUGAAUUUGAGCAGUAGAGGCUGCUGGCUGUGCCAUUUAUUUAACAGGAGACUUUGCAGCAACGUGAUCAACUGCAUGUCCCCAGGCUUUUAGGUCCUCAAGUCCAAAUAUCUAUAAUUAAUCUGCUGAAAUUGAAGACAUUUGUUCCAA
rnacentral:lncRNA from 8 species